rfam:Archaeoglobus veneficus SNP6, complete genome.
GCCGGGGUUGCAGAGCCAGGCUACUGCGGGGGAUUCGAGAUCCCCUGCCCGCAAGGGCGCGUGGGUUCAAAUCCCACCCCUGGCG